rnacentral:sRNA from 1 species
GCUGGGCAUGGUGGCACAUGCCUGUAAUCCUAGCCACUCAGAAAGUUGAGGCAGGAGGAUUGCACGUAGGAGGCUAGCCUGGACAACUUAGUGAGACCCUGUCUCAA